UACGUAGGAGGCGAGCGUUGUCCGGAAUUACUGGGCGUAAAGAGCGCGUAGGCGGCGCUGUACGACCCGUGUGAAAGCCCCCGGCUCAACUGGGGAGGGUCACGGGUAACGGCAGUGCUCUGAGUGCAGGAGAGGGAAGUGGAACUCCGGGAGUAGCGGUGAAAUGCGUAGAUAUCAGGAGGAACACCGGUGGUGUAGACGGCUUUCUGGACCGUAACUGACGCUGAGACACGAAAGCGUGGGUAGCAAACAGG
rnacentral:rRNA from 1 species